rnacentral:rRNA from 1 species
GAUGAACGCUGGCGGCGUGCCUAAUACAUGCAAGUCGAGCGAACAGAUGAGGAGCUUGCUCCUCUGACGUUAGCGGCGGACGGGUGAGUAACACGUGGAUAACCUACCUAUAAGACUGGGAUAACUUCGGGAAACCGGAGCUAAUACCGGAUAAUAUAUUGAACCGCAUGGUUCAAUAGUGAAAGACGGUUUUGCUGUCACUUAUAGAUGGAUCCGCGCCGCAUUAGCUAGUUGGUAAGGUAACGGCUUACCAAGGCAACGAUGCGUAGCCGACCUGAGAGGGUGGUCGGCCACACUGGAACUGAGACACGGUCCAGACUCCUACGGGAGGCAGCAGUAGGGAAUCUUCCGCAAUGGGCGAAAGCCUGACGGAGCAACGCCGCGUGAGUGAUGAAGGUCUUCGGAGCGUAAAAAUCUGUUAUUAGGGAAGAACAAAUGUGUAAGUAACUAUGAACGUCUUGACGGUACCAAAUCAGAAAGCCACGGCUAACUACGUG